rnacentral:lncRNA from 1 species
UAGAUGAGAUUAGCUCAGCUUCUCCCCAUCAAAAAACAACCAACAGUUGAGCAUGUUUAAUAUAAAGGGCAAAUGCUAGAUAAGAGUAUCUAAUCAUACGAUCAAAAGAGAAAAACUGAUUCCCUAAGAGUAUCUAAUCAUACGAUAGGGAGAAGCUGAGCAUGUUUAAUAUAACGGGCAAAUGCUAGAUAUUUUUCCUUCCACCAGGCCCGGAGAUUAUCAGACGCCCCGCUAACGGGCUUCCAGUUUUCCGGAAUGAUUCCGUAAACAAACCCUUGAGCCUUGCAAACUUCCAAGAUUUUAAGCAUGUACUUCAAGAUCCCAUCUUGGGCACACGACAUCUUCUUGCGUCGCGCUUGUUCUUGAGACUGACGUUGUUUGGUGUUAUCGACGUCUUUACCUUUGCUUUGAUCUUU